UACGGAGGAUCCAAGCGUUAUCCGGAAUCAUUGGGUUUAAAGGGUCCGUAGGUGGAUAAUUAAGUCAGAGGUGAAAUCCUGCAGCUCAACUGUAGAAUUGCCUUUGAUACUGGUUAUCUUGAAUUAUUGUGAAGUGGUUAGAAUAUGUAGUGUAGCGGUGAAAUGCAUAGAUAUUACAUAGAAUACCAAUUGCGAAGGCAGAUCACUAACAAUAUAUUGACACUGAUGGACGAAAGCGUGGGGAGCGAACAGG
rnacentral:rRNA from 1 species